rnacentral:rRNA from 1 species
UACGUAGGAUCCAAGCGUUGUCCGGAUUUACUGGGUGUAAAGGGUGCGUAGGCGGGUCUUUUAAGUCAGGGGUGAAAUCCUGGAGCUCAACUCCAGAACUGCCUUUGAUACUGAAGAUCUUGAGUUCGGGAGAGGUGAGUGGAACUGCGAGUGUAGAGGUGAAAUGCGUAGAGAUCGGAAAGAACACCAACGGCGAAAGCACUCUGCUGGGCCGACACUGACACUGAGAGACGAAAGCUAGGGGAGCGAAUGGG